UACAGAGGCCACGAGCAUUAGUCGGAAUCACUGGGCUUAAAGGGUGCGUAGGUGGCUUGCCAAGUGCUUUGUGAAAUCCCACGGCUCAACCGUGGAACAGCAGGGCAUACUGGCAGGCUUGAGGCAAGUAGGGGCUGACGGAACAGUAGGGGGAGCGGUGAAAUGCGUAGAUAUCUACUGGAACGCCGAUGGUGAAGACGGUCAGCUGGGCUUGUCCUGACACUGAGGCACGAAAGCGUGGGGAGCAAACAGG
rnacentral:rRNA from 1 species